AUUGAACGCUGGCGGAAUGCUUUACACAUGCAAGUCGAACGGCAGCACGGACUUCGGUCUGGUGGCGAGUGGCGAACGGGUGAGUAAUGUAUCGGAACGUGCCCAGUCGUGGGGGAUAACGUAGUGAAAAUUACGUUAAUACCGCAUACGAUCUAUGGAUGAAAGCGGGGGAUCGCAAGACCUCGCGCGAUUGGAGCGGCCGAUAUCAGAUUAGGUAGUUGGUGGGGUAAAGGCCCACCAAGCCAACGAUCUGUAGCUGGUCUGUGAGGACGACCAGCCACACUGGAACUGAGACACGGUCCAGACUCCUACGGGAGGCAGCAGUGGGGAAUUUUGGACAAUGGGCGAAAGCCUGAUCCAGCCAUUCCGCGUGCAGGAUGAAGGCCCUCGGGUUGUAAACUGCUUUUGUACAGAACGAAAAGGUUUCUACUAAUACUGGGAGCUCAUGACGGUACUGUAAGAAUAAGCACCGGCUAACUACGUGCCAGCCGCCGCGGUAA
rnacentral:rRNA from 1 species